rnacentral:lncRNA from 1 species
UAAAUACUGAUGCCCCAAAGCCUGGAAGUUUAUGAGGAAUUAAAGCAGUGCCUGGAGCUCUUUGGUGCCCUGUAAACUGUUCUGUUACAUAAGCAUGUCUUCUUAUGGCUUAACUCAUGGAUAUGAAAUCCCCCCAGGCUGAUAACAGGAGAUGCCUCAGCCCUGAAAAUCUGUUAUUUAUUUGCUUUACAGGUUUGGAGGAGUGAGGAAUCUUAGCUGUAUGGAAGUCAUUCUGGGCUCAGUGGUUGCUCCACAGCACAAGUUGCUGUUUUGGCCAUAAAGCUGAAUCCAGUGGGCUUAAACAGCCUAAUCAACAGAUCCCAAGGAAAAAAUAAAUAUGGAGCUUCCUGUGUUUCUGCGUGCAAGCAGCCUUGGACAGCUCAGAAAUGGCUUGAAAUCACCUUUGUAUCAGGGAUGAAAUCUCAAGCGAAAAGGAUACCUGCUGGAUCUAAGAGUUAAAGUUUGGACAAACACUUGCCCAGUUCUCUGUCUCAAUAGCAGUGACUUUCAGAGGUGAAGUCAUUGUCUGGGUAUAACCACUGCAGAGGGAAAACCACCAGCUUUGGCACCAAACUCUGCCAGAGAAGUUCCAACACUUGCAGUGUCAGAGUCUGCAUCAGUGUGGGUGCUCAGGUAGCCUGCACUGAAAAUGAGGGCAGGAAAAAAGCCACUUUUGAGACUUGAUUCAUCCCGUUCUGAGUAAGUCUGAUGAAGGUGUGUGUUCUGCAGUUAUUCAAAUCCUGUGGAAGUGAAAGUCAUACAGGGUAACUGAGCAAUACAAAUCUGCCUUUUGUGCCUCUUCAUUGCCUGUAUUUCAGUGUCCCCAGCCACCUG